rnacentral:rRNA from 1 species
UCAGGCCUAACACAUGCAAGUCGAGCGCCCUGCUUGCAGGGAGCGGCAGACGGGUGAGUAACGCGUGGGAAUCUACCCAGCUCUACGGAAUAGCUUCGGGAAACUGGAAUUAAUACCGUAUACGUCCUCCGGGAGAAAGAUUUAUCGGAGUUGGAUGAGCCCGCGUUAGAUUAGCUAGUUGGUGGGGUAAUGGCCUACCAAGGCGACGAUCUAUAGCUGGUCUGAGAGGAUGAUCAGCCACACUGGGACUGAGACACGGCCCAGACUCCUACGGGAGGCAGCAGUGGGGAAUAUUGGACAAUGGGCGCAAGCCUGAUCCAGCCAUGCCGCGUGAGUGAUGAAGGCCUUAGGGUUGUAAAGCUCUUUCAACGGUGAAGAUAAUGACGGUAACCGUAGAAGAAGCCCCGGCUAACUUCGUGCCAGCAGCCGCGGUAAUACGAAGGGGGCUAGCGUUGUUCGGAAUUACUGGGCGUAAAGCGCGCGUAGGCGGAUUGAUCAGUUGGGGGUGAAAUCCCGGGGCUCAACCCCGGAACUGCCUUCAAUACUGUCAGUCUAGAGUUCGAGAGAGGUGAGUGGAAUUCCGAGUGUAGAGGUGAAAUUCGUAGAUAUUCGGAGGAACACCAGUGGCGAAGGCGGCUCACUGGCUCGAU